CCUUACCAAGGUUUGACAUCACCCGUGGACCUGUAGAGAGUACAGGGUCGAUUUGGUUGGCGGGUGACAGGUGGUGCAUGGCUGUCGUCAGCUCGUGUCGUGAGAUGUUGGGUUAACGUCCGCAACGAGCGCAACCCUUGUUCCAUGUUGCCAGCACGUAGUGGUGGGGACUCAUGGGAGACUGCCGGGGUCAACUCGGAGGAAGGUGGGGACGACGUCAAGUCAUCAUGCCCCUUAUGUCUUGGGCUGCAAACAUGCUACAAUGGCCGGUACAAUGGGCGUGCGAUACCGUGAGGUGGAGCGAAUCCCUAAAAGCCGGUCUCAGUUCGGAUUGGGGUCUGCAACUCGACCCCAUGAAGGUGGAGUCGCUAGUAAUCGCGGAUCAGCAACGCCGCGGUGAAUACGUUCCCGGGCCUUGUACACACCGCCCGUCACGUCAUGAAAGUCGGCAACACCCGAAACUUGUGGCCUAACCCUUCGGGGAGGGAGUGAGUGAAGGUGGGGCUGGCGAUUGGGACGAAGUCGUAACAAGGUAGGCGUAGCGAG
rnacentral:rRNA from 1 species